GCUCCUUUAGCUCAGUUGGUAGAGCGUCAGUCUCAUAGGCUAAUACCUCAAGUUAUCUGAAGGUCGAGAGUUCGAACCUCCCAGGGAGCA
rfam:Nadsonia fulvescens var. elongata DSM 6958 unplaced genomic scaffold NADFTscaffold_6, whole genome shotgun sequence.